CCUACGGGUGGCAGCAGUGAGGAAUAUUGGUCCAUGGGCGCGAGCCUGAACCAGUCAAGUCGCGUGAAGGAUGACUGCCCUACGGGUUGUAAACUUCUUUUAUAAGGGAAUAAAGUGAGGCACGUGUGCCUUUUUGUAUGUACUUUAUGAAUAAGGAUCGGCUAACUCCGUGCCAGCAGCCGCGGUAAUACGGAGGAUCCGAGCGUUAUCCGGAUUUAUUGGGUUUAAAGGGAGCGUAGAUGGGUUGUUAAGUCAGUUGUGAAAGUCUGCGGCUCAACCGUAAAAUUGCAAUUGAUACUGGCAGCCUUGAGUACAGUAGAGGUAGGCGGAAUUCGUGGUGUAGCGGUGAAAUGCUUAGAUAUCACGAAGAACUCCGAUUGCGAAGGCAGCUUACUAAACUGCCACUGACAUUGAUGCUCGAAAGUGUGGGUAUCAAACAGGAUUAGAUACCCCAGUAGUC
rnacentral:rRNA from 1 species